rnacentral:rRNA from 1 species
GAUGAACGCUGGCGGCGUGCCUAAUACAUGCAAGUCGAGCGAACAGACGAGGAGCUUGCUCCUCUGACGUUAGCGGCGGACGGGUGAGUAACACGUGGAUAACCUACCUAUAAGACUGGGAUAACUUCGGGAAACCGGAGCUAAUACCGGAUAAUAUAUUGAACCGCAUGGUUCAAUAGUGAAAGACGGUUUUGCUGUCACUUAUAGAUGGAUCCGCGCCGCAUUAGCUAGUUGGUAAGGUAACGGCUUACCAAGGCAACGAUGCGUAGCCGACGUGGGAGGGUGAGCGGCCACACUGAAACUGAGACACGGUCCAGACUCCUACGGGAGGCAGCAGUAGGGAAGCUUCCGCAAAGGGCGAAAGCCUGACGGAGCAACGCCGCGUGAGUGAUGAAGGUCUUCGGAUCGUAAAACUCUGUUAUUAGGGAAGAACAAAUGUGUAAGUAACUAUGCACGUCUUGACGGUACCUAAUCAGAAAGCCACGGCUAACUACGUG